CAGACAAAAAGGGAGCUUCUGUGUUGCUCUUUUUAGUUUGUUAUAUCUUCAGUGAUGUUUCCGUCUUCGUUCCGUCUGCCUUCCACCAAUGAGAAGAUAUGUAUUUCUUGCACUGAAUAAACAUGCCAUGAAAUGCAGAGACCAAAGAGGUAUCAGUCAUGGAAAUUUUAUGCGCAGGUGAUGACAUCACUGAAGCCAAUUUCAUGCCUCUUCACAUACAAGCUUCUGUGGCAACCAGGAUCCACCAAGAGACCUGAUGAAGAAAUAACUGUCUAAAGGGAAGUUCACUUUUCAUGACUUUUUACCACACACAAGUUUGUUAUUUUAAAGGGGAUAUAUCAUUAAAUUUGACUUUUACCUUGUUUAA